CAUCAUAAAGCUGGCAAGAAGAGAUGGAGAAAAAUAAGCAGAGUUUUUUUUCAUAUUUUAUGGAACUGGCCAUUCCUUGCUGUAUUCAUCCCUAAUUUUUUAAAAUACAACCUCAUGAUUUAUUUCUUAUUAUGUGCUGAAACAGACUUACUUCAGAAACUCCAAUAAUCCUAUGGAGCAGCAAACUGCAAAGAAAUAUCUUGACAGAGUAAUAUUUUUAAUCUCCAAAAAUAUUAUAUUGCCUAUGGGCACUGGGUUAAACAACCCCUACGGGGCCUGCCUAACCAAUUCUGUGUAACCAAUCCUUAUAUCUCCAAUGUGAAUACAUCUUUCUCACAGAUGGAUAACAGGUGCUCAGCUGUUGGAAAGGACAAGGAUUCAUGGGCCUGGAAGGUUCAGUGCUUUUGCAAUAUGUUCCCACUGAACUUGAUCAUCUGUGGCCCAGGCAGACACACUGGACCGGAUCUCUAUGCCAUAUACAGAAGCUAAGGGAAGAUAGCUUCACGCUGGAAGUACAACCUUUACAGAAGCUUACAGAUUUUUUACACGUUCUUUGGAGACUGACUUGUGCUUGCUCCUCCUAGUCUCAAAGUAUGCUUGAUGAUUGUGCAAGGGGAAUGCCAAAGUGAAAUGAAGCUGCUAUACUUCGUUAUCCAGCAUUUAAAAGGAGAAAGAAAGGAAUCCUUUAGGAACAAGUCAAGGGUACUCACAUAACUGAGUAUUAUUAACAUAGGGCUUGUUUUGAGUGAGAUUACAUUUUAUUUAAUAUUAAUGCUAUUACCUCUAAUAAUAAUAAAUGUUAGGAGAUAUUAUUUGUGGAGACAGUCAAUGACAGUGGAUAGAUAAGCUGAGAAACUCAGUUAUUUUUUAAAGCAGAUAAACAACAGUUGUGCAACACAAUAUAAAAAAAACAAAUGUAUUUAUUCCGUUGAUUUGGCUACAAUAACUUGAACUACUCCUUGCUAGUUAUGAAGAUUAGUUAAUGUACUUAUUUGUAUUACAUGUUCAAACAAAAAAUGUGUGUAAAAAUAUUUUAAAGAUUCUAACAUUAAAGAUUCUAACAUUUAAUCUUGAUUAGGCUGCUUCAUAUUAAGAACAGUCACAUAAUCAUAUUUAAUAGAUUUUCAUGUCAAAGAUAUUCUGUGCAAUGUCAAUGUAUGAUCUAUUAAAUAUCUACUGCAGGGUAUUUUUUUUCCUUUUUUGGGAAGAAAGUUAUUGUACUUUAAUAAAACUGUCCAGAAGUGAGAGCAGAUCAAAUCUGGCAUAGCGUGUCAUGUAGGUUUACAACAGGCAAAUUGUCUAUUCAGUGUAAUGGCUGCAGAUCCAGGGCAAAUUCUGAGUAUUUUCAGGUGUAUAAAACAUUUCAUGUGAAAGACUUUUUUUCUUAACAUUUCUCUGUCUUUAAUUUAAGUCUUGAUUUGCAGACCAAAAAGCUUUCUACAUUUUUGUGUGUAUGUACACAAAUUCACAUGCGAUUGUAUUUCCUCAAAAAGUUUUCUCCCAAGUAAGUCUAUAUGACAGCAAGCAGAACGCUGACAGAUAAUGACAGAGAAUACAGUACAUUGGCUUUUCUGUCACUAUAGUGAAGAAUUAUGCUACAGAACAACCACAGCAAUAUAACUAAUUCAUUUGUGAUGUGAAAUGGUAUAGGUUUGCAAGGGAAAUAAUAAUUCAGUAAAGGUGGAUAACCUGUGCAUAAAUACAAGAGGUAUACAUGGAAGGAAGCAAAAACAAUUAUGAAAUUCACCACAUAAAAGAUAAAAGUAAUUUUAAACUGAGAAAUCCAGUGCUUUCAUAGAACUCUGAAGACAGGAGUAAAGGUUGUUCUUAGAUAAACAGACUGAAAUAUAGUUAACUCUUCCUAUCUGGAGUGUAUCUUCAAUGUCUCUGUUGCCAGAGCCCUUAAAAAGGACAGGAAUAGUCUACAGAAGUAAUGAUACAUCCAAAUUUUAAAUAGGGAUGGGAAAAUUUGUUACCAGAACAAUAACUAUUUUUGUUUGUGAUUCUACUGUUUGUCUCAAUACUGUUUGUAAUUUAUCACUUUGUACAGAUUCUACAGCUCAGUGUAGAUCUAGGAGCAACUGAAAGAUUAAGGAGGCUUGUUGAUAGGGCCAGUGUCUCCAGAGUCUUGUAUUUCUAAGCCAUUUUAUCACUAAAGCACUUCCAUAGUGAGUUGUAUGAAUAUCAAUUAUAAUUAAAUAUUCUCUCUGUAGUCUUGUUAAACCUAUUGCCUUUUUAAUACAUCAUGAUCACAACUGGAAAGUGUACAGUAUUAAUCAGAGAAAUCUUGUCUAGAUUACGGAAUUGUGGCCACUUUGCAUUCCUUGGCAUCAAUUACUUUCUAUUUCAAUGUAACAGAAAACAGUAAUAAAGUAAAAAUGGUC
rnacentral:lncRNA from 1 species